ACGGCCAUACCAUGCUGAAUAUACCGGUUCUCGUUAGAUCACCGAAGUCAAAAACAUCAUUGGGCGCGGUCAGUACCCUUAUUUUAACUGACCUAUCCUGGGAACACCGCGUGCCGCUG